UCCCAAAACAAACAUUCUCUCUCUUCAUUAAAUACUAUCAAUUCCAACUUUUUAUCCCUUCUUUAAAAUAACAAAAUUUUAGAUUAUUCAAACUAAUUAUAUUAUUUCCAAUAAUAUAAUUUUCUCAUCCUUCCAUAACAUCAAACACAUAUAUCUAUACUCAAAAUCCUAAAAUAAAUUACCAAGAUCAUUCUCUUUUAUUCAUCCAUAACAAUAUAAAAAAAAUCAAUUUUCAUAAUUAAUUAGAUAUUCUUUCAUAAAUAUUCAAUUAAUUAUAAUCUUCACAAAACAAACAAAUCUCUUAAUUUAUCUAAAAUAACACCCAAAUAAUUCCAACUUAAAUUCAAUUCCAUUAAGAUAAAUUAAAUUUAAAAUUACCUUAAAUUUUGGGAUGUUACAAUCUUCCCUCCUUUUAGAAACUUUCAUCCUCGAAAGUACUAAUCCUCAAUAACUCUAUAAUAUCCCUGGGUAAUGAGCUCUCAUAUCAUCUUCUCGUUCUCAUGUCGCUUCUUUAACUCGAUGAUUCUGCCACAAUACUUUUACUAAUGAAAUUCCUCUAUUACGAAGCAUCAUCACUUCUCUAACCAGAAUCUCAACUGGUUGCACCACAUAGCUCAAAUUCUCGUCAAUCUCUAGUGGUUCAUAGUCCACUACAUGAGAUGGAUCUGCCACAUACUUUCUCAACAUCGAAACAUGGAAAACAUUAUGAAUUGCAGAGAGAAAUGGAGAGAGAAAUGGUGGUAAUGCUAAACGAUAUGCCACAACACCAAUUCUCUUUAAAAUCUCAAACGGUCCAACAAAACGAGGAUUUAACUUCCCUUUCUUCUCAAAAUGCAUAACAUCCUUCAUAGUUGCUACCUGCAAGAACACCUUAUCUCCCACAUCAAACUCAAGGUUCUUUCACCUCAGAUCUGCAUAACUUUUUUUUUUUUCUACUUUGCGUUGUUUGCGUACGUACUCUAAUAUUCUGAAUAAACUCAUUAGUAGACUAAACCAACUCAUAACCCAUCAAUCUCUGUUCACCAACCUCAUUCCAACAAACAGAAGUUCUACAACAUUUACCAUACAAAGCUUCAAACGGUGUCAUGCCAAUGGUAACCUGAAAACUGUUAUUAUAAGCAAACUCCAUCAAAUGUAAGUGAGAGUCCCAACUACCUGGAAACUCUAGAACACAAGCUCGUAGCAUAUCCUCUAAAACUUGGUUCAAACGUUCAGUUUGGCCAUCAGUCUGUGGGUGAAAGGUUGUACUAGAAAUCUAACCUCGUUCCCAUGGCAGUCUAAAGUCCCUUCCAAAACUUGGAAGUAAAAAGUGCAUCUCGUUAGAGACAAUAAUACGGGCACUCCAUGUAGUCUCACAAUCUCAAUCAAAUAUAAUUAUGCUCAUUUACUAGUAGUAUAAGUGGAUUUUUUUUUUUUUAAAUGAAAUGUGUCGAUUUCGUAAGCCUAUCGACAAUAACCCAAAUCACUGUGUAACCCUUCAGGGUUUUAGGCAAUUAUAUAAUAAAAUCCAUAGAUACAUUCUCCCACUUCCACUCUAAUAUACUCAAAGGUUGCAACAAACCUGUUGGUUUCUAUCUUGGUGCUUUAACCUGCUAGCACACCAAGCACUUACUAACAAGAUCUUCCAUUUCUCUCUUCAUAUUACGCUAGUAACAAACUCUUUUCAGAUCCGGAUACAUUUUUGUGCUACUUGGAUGCAUGAGAAAUGGGAAACUAUGAGUCUCAACCAAUAACCUUGUCUUAAUUGCAUUUUCUGUUGGCUCACAUAAUUCUCUCUCAAACAUAAGUUCAUCAUCAAAGGAUAUGGAAAACUCCUUAACUUGCCCUACUUCUACUAGGCAAUGCUUCUCAAUCAAAUAAGGAUCAAUGAAUUGAACCACAAGAAUUCUUUGUCUCAAGAUCGGAUGUACUGACAACUGAGCUAACUGUGAGGUGACUUCCCCCACUAAAACUACAAUCUCAGCUCUCUCGUGGUUUUUGUCUAAUGAAACCUGUCUGGUAAUAAGUGCUGUCAAAAUGUGAUACUUUUCUACAAAGAGCACCAACUUCCACAUUCGCCUUACCUAAAUGGUACAAAAUCUCACAAUCAUAGUCAUUUACUAACUGAAACCAUCUUUGCUAUCUCAUACUCAACUUCUUUUGAGUGAAAAAGUAUUUUAUACUCUUUUGGUUAGAAAAUAUCUAUAUCUUUUCAUCAUGAAUAUAUAGUGCCUUCAAAUCAUUAAUGUAAAAACCACAACUGUCAAUUUCAUAUCAUAAGUUGGACAAUUUUCCUCAUGACUCUUCAACUGACGAGGAGUACAAGCAACUACUUUAACUUGUUGAAUCAUAAUACCUUUUAAACUUUCCUAAAAGCAUCACUAUAAAUUACGAAACUUUCUGAACCAUCAUGUACGGUAAGCACGGGAGUUGUACAAGCUUCUGCUUAAGAUCCUGAACACUAUCCUCAUAGGCUUUGUCCCAAACAAACAGAGUCCCUUUUCUUAGUUAACUGAGUCAAAUGAGUAGCUAUACGAGAAAAUUCUUAUACAAACCGUUAGUAAUAACCUGCUGAACCCAAAAAGACUACGAACCUCACUGACUAUGAAAGGUUGAGGCCAACUGGUAACGACUUCAAUCUUUUAUGAGAUCCACAUAAAUGUCAUCUCUAGAUACCACAUGGCUUGGAAAGAUACUUGGCCUCAUCCAAAACUCACAUUUUGAAAACUUUGCAUACAAUUUGUUGACUCGAAGAGCCUCUAAAACCAUGUUAAAUGCUCCUCAUGCGCUGUCUCUAUUUUGGAAUAAAUUAAGAUAUCGUCAAUAGAUACAAUCACGAAAGUGUCUAAGAGAUCGUUAAACACUUUGUUCAUCAAGUCGUAAACAUUGUUUGAGCAUUUGCCAACUCAAAAGACAUCAUAAUGAACUCAUGAUGUCCAUAUCACGAACGAAAAUCUGCCAUAGGAAUGUCACUGUUCUCUAAUCCUCAACAAGUCAUAACUUUAAUGUAAUUCAAUCUUAAAGAACACGGAAUUAUUGCAGUUGAUCAAACAAAUCCUCAUUCAUUGGUAAAAGAUAUUUAUUCUUAACCGACACCUUAUUCAACUUUCUACAAUCAAAACAUAAGUGCAUCGACCCAUCUUUCUUCUUAAUAAACAAAAAUUGGUGCAUCCCAAGAUAACAUACUUCGUCGAAUGUAGUCCUUGUCAAACAUUUCUUUCAAUUGCACCUUCAAAUCUUUCAACUCUGUUGGGGCCAUUUUGUAUGAAGCUUUAGAUAUAGGAACGAGUCUAACUCUAUCUCAAUAGCAAGACCAAUUUCUGUUUAGCGCGGUAAUCUUAGAAACUCUUCUAGAAAAAUAUCAUAAUACUUUUUCACCACUGAUUCAAAUAACAAAGAAACAUCGACUUCUCUGGUGUCUACCACACUAGUCAAAUACAACAAGUACCCUGGUCAAGCAACUUACUAACCUUCAUAGUUGGGAUAACUUUUAGCGAAACGAUAGUUCCAACCUCUUUGUACUUGAAACUAGCCUCUGGAGAAGGAUUAGAAACUACAUUUUUGCUGAACAUUUUAUGUUCACAUGGUUAAACUACAUUCCAAUUUUCAAACUCCAAACUAGUAACUUUUCAUUCACGAGAAACUCAAAAUUGUUUCUUAAAGUCACAUCAAGACAACCAUGCUCAUCUUCCUUGUUUCUUUUCCAAUACCUCCAUUCUAAAACCAUUUAAUGUGUUUCGUAUAAACUUGACCGUGUAUUUAGUCCUCGUUAAAACCACCUACAUAACUUAUUUUUCUUAGAUUUCCAAUCACAAAACAGACAAUUUCGCUAACAACGUCUUACUUUUCUACUACUCGACCACUCCUUUGAACACCUCUACAUGACAACAUUUUUCCUAAAUUUCACCAUUAAAUCUGUCACCAUUAAAUCAUAACAUUCAUGUAAUUCUAGUUUAACUUAGGCAAGGUCAUAUACAUAAACCAUACAUAUAAGCAUAAAGCAUACCUGACGAGAGACGAAGGGUCGCGUUAGCCAUAGGGACACAAAAACAUAGACUUACAUCGUAAGUCAGUCUACAGAACCUAAAACUUAGGCUCUGAUACCAACUGUAACGACCCAACUUUUCUAAGUAAGUCGAGAUCGUUAAUUUUUAACAAAUAAAGACUUUAAUUAAUAUAAAACAAAACGUAAACAAUUAAAAAAAAAACAUCUUCAAGUCAGGCCUGAUUUUUAAACAUUCAAGAAAACAUAAAAUAGUACUAUUUACAACAAACGUUUGUAAACUAAAUUUCAAUUCAUUUUAAACCUCACAAGAACCCAUAAGCGGAAGCAAAAACACGUUUUCUAUGGCAUCACGCUUCCUUCCUGCCCCUCGCCUGUUUGCCGCCUUUAUUACCUUUGCCUGAAAAUUAAACAUAAGAAGGGUGAGUAUUUUAAAUACUCAGUAAGAGACCCUCUACUGGUCCCGUCAGGAGAAAAUAAAUUAUUAACGAUCUAUUGGGACACCCUGUACAGUCACAGUCUUGUGAUCCCGUAGGAUACACAUCUCAGUCUAACGCCCCGAGGGACGUACAUAUCAGUCUAGUGUUCUGCAGAAACACAUAUCAGUCUAAUGCUCCCGAAGGUGCAAAAUAAAUUGGUGAUCCCGUGGGACACCUACAAGGUACACAUCCCAAUAAAUCUAACAAUUUUCCCCUCAUUCCAUUCAAUCCAUCCUUCAGUUGCUUCAAAACAUAAAAUUUUUUCUCUCAACGUCCUAACAGUCAACUUACUUUACUUUAGUCAUCUGUCCGUCAAUAAUAUACUAAUACGUCAGUCAAUCAACUAUACAGUCAAUACACCCCUCAGUUCACCAGCACACAAUCAUACUUUAGCGUAAUCGUACACCCAAUCUAAACGAGAAUCACAAGUUCAUAUCUACAUCUCAUACCAACACAAUCUACAAUCUUCGUCAUGUCCACAUACACACACUUAUAUAUAUUUUCCAUGACAUUCACGAUAUACAUUCGACGUUAUGUCUACUUCAAUUCACAUGCAUUCAUAUAUAUUUUCAGUCAAACCACAGUAUACAUUCAACACACAUACAAUUCACAAUCACAAUUGAGCCCAGUAGAAAAUCCCUUACCUGAAAGUUAGGGAAGCUCCUUAAUCAACUAACGUCCUCGAAACAAUCCUAAGCAUAACAACACAAAAUUCAAUUACUUUCACAAUACAUAUCCCACUUAUUUUCCUCAACGUAAGUUUCAACUCACCGAUAUAAUGGCGAACUGAACCUUCAACAAUUCACAAUCUGGUUGUGAAUGUAAGGGAGCCUAACGUUACUCCCAACACCUCAACGCACGACUCGAACUCGCAGCAAAAUCCUAAGUGUGGGUCGGUUAGCGGUCGGCCAAAGGGAACGUGGCGGCUGGGCUUCACAGAUGGAGACCGUCACGAACAGACCGCGAAUCUGAACGGUUACAGCAACUAGUCGGCCGACGUCGAUAGCAGGUGGAGCGGCGGUUGUGAGCGGGGAGCGUGGUCGACGGAGACAGAAUCGGCGAUGGAGACGGCAGAUUGGCGCGCGGGACGACUGCUGCAAGGUUGCUUCGCGAACCGGAGAUGGCGGCCGACGGUUGCAGACGGAGAGGCUGCAGCGGCAGCUGGGUAUGGUAGAAAAGAAAGAGAAACGGAAGAAGAGAAAUUUGGGGUGGCCGGCCGUAGAAAACAAAAAGAAAAGAGGAAGAAAAAAGAAGAAAGAAAAGAGAAAGGAAAAGAGAAGGAAGAAAAGAGAUGGUUGUGGUCGUAGGUUGAACACGAAGAGAAAGGAAGAAGAUGAAUAGGAAAAGAGAAAAAUAAAAUAAAAUAUUAUAAGUAUAUUUUUUUCUUUCUUUUUCUUUUCUUUUAUUAUUAUUCCUUUUUCUUUUUUUUUCUUAAAAUAGAAUUAUUAUUAAUAAUAAUAUGAUUAUAAUAUAUUAUUAUUACUUUUCUGUUUCCUUUACUUUUCCUCUUCCCAAAACAAACAUUCUAUCUCUUCAUUAAAUACUAUCAAUUCCAACUUUUUAUCCCUUCUUUAAAAUAACAAAAUUUUAUAUUAUUCAAACUAAUUAUAUUAUUUCCAAUAAUAUAAUUUUCUCAUCCUUCCAUAACAUCAAACACAUAUAUCUAUACUCAAAAUCCUAAAAUAAAUUACCAAGAUCAUUCUCUUUUAUUCAUCCAUAACAAUAUAAAAAAAAUCAAUUUUCAUAAUUAAUUAAAUAUUCUUCCAUAAAUAUUCAAUUAAUUAUAAUCUUCACAAAACAAACAAAUCUCUUAAUUUAUCUAAAAUAACACCCAAAUAAUUCCAACUUAAAUUCAAUUCCAUUAAGAUAAAUUAAAUUUAAAAUUACCUUAAAUUUUGAGAUGUUACAAUAUAGUUUACUACAUGUUGUUACAACAUACUUAAGAUAUAAAUGUUUAUAUGACUAACAACAUAAUAUUACUAUAAGAUAAACAAAAAAAUAAAGAACAGAUUGAAUUGAAAAAUAUUUUCGAUUACUGUAUGUCACUAUAUAUGUCUGAUUGUAUAUAUCUCUAAGCAAUAUUACAUAAUGAGGUAGUAUAUAUGUAACAAAUCACAUAAUAUAUAUGUAUUAUGGAGUAGUAUAAAUGUAAUUGUUGAGCAACAAAUUUCAACCAAUGAAAUUACACCACGUCGUCGCACCCAAGUUGUGAUGAUUAUAAUUUGAUUGGAUUUGGGUAGUCAAGUUUUCCAACCCAAUUCAAGCCCCUGAUAAAAAAUCAGGCCAAACAAAGGGGCCUAAGCCCACUAAGAAAAUGGGCCCAAGCCCAAGUCCAAGCUCAACAACACAACAAGCAAAUGGGUCCAAGCCCACAUAAAGUCAACAAAUUUUCUCUAUAAGUAGAGACCUUUGUCAUUCAUUCGAGAGAUCUUUUGUUGAAGGAAGAAAUGAAGAUCUGAAGUACUGAAGCUUUGAAGAAUUGAAGAUUCAAACUUCUAUAGAGCUCUCAAGACGUGCAAGUUCUUAUCAACUUCGAGAUCAUCAUCUUCUGAAAUAUUGAAGACUUGGAAGAUCAAAAUUUCCUUAAAUUCCAGAAGACUGAAGCUGAAAUAGACCGAACCAUUUAAAUUCGGUUUGGACUAUUUGAGACAGCAACAAACUGUGUUUUUUGUUUUGUACAUAAAUGGUGUGGUUUGAUUCGGUUUUAACAAGCGGUUCAAUUUACACCGUUUAGACUUGAUCUUAUAUAAUGUGAAAUUAUUUUUUUUCUUUGAAUUUUUAUCUAAGUGUACUCAAAUUGUAUACCAUGUUACAAAAUUAAUUGCAAUAAAUUUUUUAAAAUUUUCAAAAAUAUCAUAAAUUGACUAAUAUUUUAUACAAAUAUAGAGUAAAAAUGACCAAUUUACUCUUUUUAUUAUUAAUAAUAUAUUAAAAAUAAAAAAAAAAAGUGAACCACGUUUAAGAUUUUCAUUUAUUAAAUAUUCUAUUAAAAUAUGGAUUAAAUUCUAUUAAAGUAAUAUUAAUAAUAAAAAUUGUCCUUAGUUUGCUUUUUAUGAUUUUAUUAAAAAAUUGUCCUUUUUUAUUUUGCAUUCUUUUUCAUAUAUUUUAUAUAAUUAUAGUAUAUAUUGAAUAAUAUAAUGUAUAUUUUAUUAGUGAAAUGUUCUUAUAUCAAUUUAUUUAUUUAUUUUAUUUCAAAUGACAUUAUAUCCUUUUUUAUUUUGCAUUCUUUUUCAUAUAUUUUAUAAAACACGUUUCCUAUGGCAUCACGCUUCCUUCCUGCCCCUCGCCUGUUUGCCGCCUUUAUUACCUUUGCAUGAAAAUUAAACAUAAGAAGGGUGAGUAUUUUAAAUACUCAGUAAGAGACCCUCUACUGGUCUCGUCAGGGGAAAAUAAAUUGUUAAAGUUCUAUUGGGACACCCUGUACAGUCGCAGUCUUGUGAUCCCGUAGGAUACACAUAUCAGUCUAACGCCCCGAGGGACGUACAUAUCAGUCUAGUGUUCUGCAGAAACACAUAUCAGUCAAAUGCUCCCGAAGGUGCACAAUAAAUUGGUGAUAUAGAUAUACACACCUAAUCUAAACGAGAAUCUCAUACAAACACAAUCUACAAUCUCCGUCCUGUCCACAUACACACAUUUAUAUAUAGAUUCCAUGACAAUCACGACAUACAUUCGACGUCAAGUCUACUUCAAUUCAUAUACAUUCAUAUAUAUUUUCAGUCAACCCCAGUAUACAUUUAACACACAUACAGCUCACAAUCACAGUUCACAAUCACAAUUGAGUCCAGUAGAAAAUCCCUUACCUGGAUCUUUAUAUAAAAUUCCUUAGUCGAACUAACUUCAACAAACAAACCCCAAGAGUAAAGAAUCGAACUCCAACAAAGCUUAAGGCGUAACUCAAGGACACUAACUCCAAAUCACCGAUGUCGCCUUCAAGAACAAAGAUCAAUUCAACCAAUUAAACAACAUCACAUCUUAAUGUAUUUACAAAUGUAAGACCUUAUUACCGAACAAUCUCAUCCUUACCAAUAUCUUGUAACAAGACUUUGACAAUCGACGUUAAAUAGAAGUUGCCGCAGGAUCUACACAAAAGACAUCGUGCAAAACACUUUUGCACGCGAACUGGUCCGCGAUUCGUAAAUGGGACAGCGGGUAUCGACGAAGGCAGAACGGUUCGGACGUUCAACAGCAGUUACGCGUGGACGGGAGUAGCCCGGCAACGUAGCCGAAUUCGUGCGAUGCGGCGUGACCUGCGUCGGCGAGGCUGUUCGUGACUGAGGCGUGCGACUUGCCUCGCGGACGGAGAUAGAGACGGCGGAGACGGUUGCAGAACCGUGGCUUCGACAGAGACAGAACCGGCUGAGACGGCUGGGCAGCGGCGGAAGAGCAACGGCGCCGCAUAUCUGGACUGGCAGCAGCGCGGUCUUGCUUCGCGGCGGGGCUGCGGACGGAAGAAGAAAAUGGAAGGAAAGGACCGGAGAUUGGCUGCGGCAGGACGGGAAGAAGAAGAUAGAGGUGGUGGUUGCGGCGGAAAGAAAAACGGAAGGGAAGGGAGGCGACGGUUUGCGAACGGGAGAGAAGGGGGAAGGGAUCGGCGCACACGCAGAAGAAGAAGGAAGAAAAGAAAAGAAAAAGAAAAAGAAGAAAAGUAAAAAUAAUAAAGAAAUUUUUUAAUAUUAAAAUAAUAUAUAUAAAAAUAAAAAAAAUAUAUAUAUAUAUAUAUAUUUACCUUUUCUUUGGGCAUUACAUUCUUCCCUCCUUAAGAAACUUUCGUCCUCGAAAGUUCUAAUCCUGAAAUAACUCUGGAUAACGAGUCCUCAUCUCUUCUUCUCGCUCCCAUGUCGCCUCUUCAAUUCGAUGAUUCUGCCACAAAACCUUUACUAAUGGAAUGCUUCUAUUACGAAGCAUCUUUACCUCUCUAGCCAGAAUCUCCACAGGUUGUUAUACAUAGCUCAAAUGCUCAUCAAUCUCCAAGGGUUCAUAGUCCACUACAUGAGAUGUAUCGGCCACAUACUUCCUCAACAUCGAAACAUGGAAAACAUUAUGAACUGCAGAGAGAGAUGGUGGUAAUGCCAAGCGAUACGCCACAACACCAACCCUCUCUAAGAUCUCAAAUGGUCCAACAAAACGAGGACUUAACUUUCCUUUCUUCUCAAAACGCAUAACACCCUUCAUAGGUGCUACCUUCAAGAAUACCUUUUCUCCCACAUCGAACUUAAGGUCUUUUCGCCGUACAUCCGCAUAACUCUUUUGUCUACUCUGCGCUGUUUGCAUACGUGCUCUAAUCUUUUAAAUAGCCUCAUUAGUAGACCGAACUAAUUCAGGUCCCAUCAAUCUAUGUUCACCAACCUCACUCCAACAAACAGGGGUUCUACAACAUUUGCCAUACAAAGCCUCAAAUGGUGCCAUACCGAUGGUAGCCUAGAAACUGUUGUUAUAAGCAAACUCCAUCAAAUGUAGAUGAGAGUCACAACUACCUGGAAACUCUAUAACACAAGCUCGUAGCAUAUCCUCUAAAACUUGGUUCAAACGUUCAGUUUGACCAUCAGUCUGUGGAUGAAAGGCUGUACUAAAAUCCAAUCUCGUACCCACAGCAGUCUGAAGUCCCUUCCAAAACUUGGAAGUAAACCGUGCAUCCCUAUCAGAAACAAUCGAUACAGGCACUCCAUGCAGUCUCACAAUCUCAGUUAAAUACAGCUCUGCCCACUUAUUAGCAGUAUAAGUGGAUUUUCCUGGUACAAAAUGUGCCGAUUUCGUAAGCCUGUCUAUGACAACCAGAAUCACUGUGAAACCCUUCAGGGUCUUAGGCAGCCCUGAAAUAAAAUCCAUCGACACAUUCUCCCACUUCCACUCUGGCACACUUAAGGGUUGUAACAAACCUGCUGGUUUCUGUCUAGGUGCCUUAACUUGCUGACAUACUAGACACUUACUAACAAAUUCCGCCACUUCCCUUUUCAUAUUCCGCCACCAGUAAAAUUGUUUUAAAUCCUGAUACAUUUUCGUGCUACCAGGAUGCAUUGAAAAUGGGGAAUUAUGGGCUUCAUCUAGUAAGUCAAUCUUAACUGUACUGUUCGCUGGCACACACAAACGUCUUUCAAACAUCAACCCACCAUCAGAGGAUAUGGAGAACUCAUCAGUCUGCCCUGUUUCAACAAGGCGACGUCUCUCCAUCAAAUAAGGAUCACUACUUUGAGCAUCAACAAUCUUCUGCCUCAGAGUCGGUUGCACCGUUAAUUGAGCCAGCUGUGAGGUGACUCUUCCCACAGACACUGCAAUCUCAACUCUCUCCAAGUCUCGAUGCAAUGGUACCUGUCUAGUAAUGAGUGCUGCCGAAUGUGAUACUUUUCUACUAAGAGCAUCAGCCACCACAUUCGCCUUACCAGGAUGGUACAAUAUCUCGCAGUCAUAAUCUUUUACCAACUCGAGCCACCUUCGUUGUCUCAUAUUCAACUCCUUCUGAGUGAAGAAGUACUUUAGGCUCUUAUGGUCAGUAAAGAUUUGUAUCUUUUCACCGUACAAGUAAUGUCUCCAUAUCUUCAAUGCAAAAACCACUGCUGCCAACUCCAAAUCAUGUGUGGGGUAGUUCUGCUCGUGACUCUUCAACUGACAAGAGGCAUAAGCAACCACCUUACCUUUCUGCAUCAAAACACAACCCAGUCCUUUCUUGGAAGCAUCACUAUAAAUCACAAAACUUCCAGAUCCAUCGGUACAGUAAGGACCGGUGCAGUAACUAACCUUUGCUUUAAGUUCUGAAAACUAUCCUCACAAGCUGGACUCCAAACAAACGGAGUUCCCUUCCUUGUCAACUGAGUCAAAGGAGUAGCCAAACGUGAAAAAUCCUCCACAAACCUCCGGUAGUACCCUGCUAAACCCAGAAAACUACGAACCUCACUAACUGUAGAGGGUCGAGACCAACUGGUAACCGCUUCUAUCUUUGCAGGGUCUACUGAAACUCCCUCACUGGAAACCACAUGACCAAGAAAAGCCACCUGCUUCAACCAAAAUUCGCACUUAGAGAACUUAGCAUACAGUUUAUUGACUCGAAGAGUCUCUAACACCUUAUGUAAGUGUUCCUCAUGUUCGGCUUCAGUCUUGGAAUAAACCAAAAUAUCAUCAAUGAAGACUAUCACAAAAGUGUCCAAGAAAUCCUUAAACACCCUGUUCAUCAAAUCCAUAAAUACAGCAGGUGCAUUAGUCAAACCAAAAGACAUUACUAUGAAUUCAUAAUGUCCAUACCUCGAACGAAAAGCAGUCUUAGGAAUAUCACGGUCUCUAAUCCUCAACUGGUGAUAAUCUGACCGUAAGUCAAUCUUAGAGAACACCGUGGCUCCCUGUAACUGAUCGAACAAAUCAUCGAUUCUGGGUAAAGGAUAUCUGUUCUUGACUGUUACUUUAUUCAACUCUCUAUAGUCAAUGCAAAGACGCAUCGACCCAUCCUUCUUCUUCACAAACAAUACUGGUGCACCCCAAGGUGACACACUAGGUCGAAUAAAGCCUUUGUCAAGCAAUUCCUGUAACUGUACCUUCAGUUCUUUCAACUCAGCAGGAGCCAUCCUAUAAGGGGCUCUAGAAAUAGGAGUAGUGUUUGGCUCCAACUCAAUGGCAAAAUCAACCUCUCUAUGUGGCGGUAGUCCUGGAAGAUCUUUUGGAAAUACAUCUGGGUAGUCUCUUACCACAGGUUCUGAAGUUAAAGAAGUCUCACCUUCCCUAGUAUCCACCACACUUGCCAAAAUACUCCAAGUACCCUGGUUGAGUAGUUUACUAGCUUUCAUAGCUGAGAUUACUUUAGGCAGUACUACUGUUCCUACCCCCUUGAAUUUAAAGCUAGAUGCAGUAGGGGGACUGAACACAACUUCCUUACGAGAACAAUCAAUACUAGCAUGAUUAGUAGCUAGCCAAUCCAUACCUAAAAUUACAUCAAAGUCACGCAUAUCUAAUACCAACAAGGUUACGUCCAGCACACGACCAGCUAUCUCAAUUUCACAUGCUUUAAUCUUUUCCUUAGACAACAUAAUUUCUCCAGACGGUGUAGACACUGACAAAACAUAGUCUAAGGGUUCCACCUCUAAGCAUGCAUGCGUCACAAAAAGCGAUGAAAUAAAUGAAUGAGAAGAUCCCGAGUCAAACAAGGUCAAGGCAAAAUGCCCUAACACUGGUAAUGUACCUGUCACUACUGUGCCGGCCUUCUCUGCCUCUGAUCUAUUAGUGGCAAAGAUUGUACCCCGCUGUGGAGGUCUCUCUCCCUGACUGCUCGAUCCAGCCCCAGUAGAUCUCAAGGGACACCUAUCAGCCAUGUGUCCCUCUUGCUUGCACUUAUAACAGACUCUCGUUCCCAUCAAACAACGACCCAGGUGGCGUUUCCCACACGUAUUACAUACUGGCCUCUCUCGAGUAGUGUCUCCUGCACCGCCAGAACUCUGCUGGAAACUGCGAAAAGGAUCGCCUGGUCUCAAGUUCCUCUGAGGAACUCCUACAGUUCUCUGCUCUACUUUUCUCUUUUGACCCGACGACGAUCCCUUAUCAAAGCUCCUUGGCUGUAUUUCAUCCUUCCCAAUGCUCAUAUCCACUGCCAGACGCAGUGCUUCAGCUUGGGUAGUGGGCUUUAGUGCUCGCACAAAGCCCCUAAUUUCAUCUCUCAAUCCCUUGACGAACCUAUCAGCUCUAGCCUGCUCAUUACUAACAAGCUCAGGGGCAAAACGUGACAGCAUAUCAAACUCCUGGUCGUACUCCUCGACUGUCAUAUAUCCUUGCUUCAACUCCAAGAAUUCCUGGCUUUUGGCGUCUCUAAGGUUAGCCGAGAAAAACUUGGUAUAGAAGCAGUCCUUAAACUGAUCCCAGGUAAUUUGCCUCACAUCUCCACCUAGCAUGCGCAUUGUAGUCCUCCACCAGAUAAUGCCUCUGUCCCUCAGUAGAAAAGCAGCACACUGAACUCUGUGCUCCUCGGGACAUCUCAUGUAAUUAAAUAUGGUUUCCACAGAGGACAACCACAUUUCAGCUUUAGUAGGAUCCUCCAGUGACCCAUCAAACGUCUGAGGGUCAUACUUCCGAAAGUCCCUCAAAUGUUUCGCCUCAGCAGAAAGUUGGUUCGGUAAUCCUUGUGCAGGAGGGGCUGCUGGUGCAGGGGGAACUACAGGUGCAGGUGGAACCGCAGGUGCCUGCUGGUUUUGAGCUAUAGCUGUCAUAAGUUCUGUAAACCUCUGCUCCAUGUGAGCAGACAGUGCAUCAAACUCAACGUGAGUCACGGGUGCAGCAGGAAUUCGCUGUUCAGCUUGACCCUCAGUAGGCUGAUUACGACCUGCUCCUCUACCUCGGCCUCCUACUCCUCUCUACCUCGGCCUCUACGACCUCCUCUACGUACACCUUCCCUUGGCGGCAUAAUUCCUAUUAUCCACCAACAACACUCUUUAACAAAAUCUUAAUCAUAAGCAUAAGCAAGUCUUUAUCGUCAUGCAAUCUAGUUUAAUUUAGGCAAGGUCAUGCAAAUAAACCAUACAUAUAAGCAUCAAGCAUACCUGACGAGAGACGAAGGGUCGCGUUAGCCAAAGGAACACAAAAACAUAGACUUACAUCGUAAGUCAGUCUACAGAACCUAAAACUUAGGCUCUGAUACCAACUGUAACGACCCAACUUUUCUAAGUAAGUCGAGAUCGUUAAUUUUUAACAAAUAAAGACUUUGAUUAAUAUAAAACAAAACGUAAGCAAUUUAAAAAAAAAAACAUCUUCAAGUCAGGCCUGAUUUUUAAACAUUCAAGAAAACAUAAAAUAGUACUAUUUACAACAAACGUUUGUAAACUAAAUUUCAAUUCAUUUUAAACCUCACAAGAACCCAUAAGCGGAAGCAAAAAAACACGUUUCCUAUGGCAUCACGCUUCCUUCCUGCCCCUCGCCUGUUUGCCGCCUUUAUUACCUUUGCCUGAAAAUUAAACAUAAGAAGGGUGAGUAUUUUAAAUACUCAGUAAGAGACCCUCUACUGGUCUCGUCAGGGGAAAAUAAAUUGUUAAAGUUCUAUUGGGACACCCUGUACAGUCGCAGUCUUGUGAUCCCGUAGGAUACACAUAUCAGUCUAACGCCCCGAGGGACGUACAUAUCAGUCUAACGCCCCGAGGGACGUACAUAUCAGUCUAGUGUUCUGCAGAAACACAUAUCAGUCAAAUGCUCCCGAAGGUGCACAAUAAAUUGGUGAUCCCGUGGGACACCUACAAGGUAAACAUCCCAAUACAAUCUAACAAUUUAUCCCCUCAUUCCAUUCAACCCAUCUUUCAGUUACUUCAAGUCACAAAGUUCUUUCUUUCAACAUCCUAACAGUCAACUUAUUUUACUACAGUCAUAUGUCUGUCAAUAAUAUGCUAAUACAUCAGUCAAUCCACUAUACAGUCAAUGCACCCCUCAGUUCACCAGCACACAGUCAUACUUUAGCGUAAUCAUACACCCAAUCUAAACGAGAAUCUCAUACAAACACAAUCUACAAUCUCCGUCCUGUCCACAUACACACAUUUAUAUAUAGAUUCCAUGACAAUCACGACAUACAUUCGACGUCAAGUCUACUUCAAUUCAUAUACAUUCAUAUAUAUUUUCAGUCAACCCCAGUAUACAUUCAACACACAUACAGCUCACAAUCACAGUUCACAAUCACAAUUGAGUCCAGUAGAAAAUCCCUUACCUGGAUCUUUAUGUAAAAUUCCUUAGUCGAACUAACUUCAACAAACAAACCCCAAGAGUAAAGAAUCGAACUCCAACAAAGCUUAAGGCGUAACUCAAGGACACUAACUCCAAAUCACCGAUGUCGCCUUCAAGAACAAAGAUCAAUUCAACCAAUUAAACAACAUCACAUCUUAAUGUAUUUACAAAUGUAAGACCUUAUUACCGAACAAUCUCAUCCUUACCAAUAUCUUGUAACAAGACUUUGACAAUCGACGUUAAAUAGAAGUUGCCGCAGGAUCUACACAAAAGACAUUGUGCAAAACACUUUUGCACGCGAACUGGUCCGCGAUUCGUAAAUGGGACAGCGGGUAUCGACGAAGGCAGAACGGUUCGGACGUUCAACAGCAGUUACGUGCGGACGGGAGUAGCCCGGCAACGUAGCCGAAUUCGUGCGAUGCGGCGUGACCUGCGUCGGCGAGGCUGUUCGUGACUGAGGCGUGCGACUUGCCUCGCGGACGGAGAUAGAGACAGCGGAGACGAUUGCAGAACCGUGGCUUCGACAGAGACAGAACCGGCUGAGACGGCUGGGCAGCGGCGGAAGAGCAAUGGCGCCGCAGAUAUGGACUGGCAGCGGCGCGGUCUUGCUUCGCGGCGGGGCUGCGGACGGAAGAAGAAAAUGGAAGGAAAGGACCGGCGGCUGGCUGCGGCUGGCUGCGGUUGGCUGCGGCGGGACGGGAAGAAGAAGAUAGAGGUGGUGGUUGCGGCGGAAAGAAAAACGGAAGGAAAGGGAGGCGACGGUUUGCGAACGGAAGAGAAGGGGGAAGGGAUCGGCGCGCACGCAGCAGAAGAAGAAGGGAGAAAAGAAAAGAAAAAGAAAAAGAAGAAAAGAAAAAUAAUAAAGAAAUUUUUUAAUAUUAAAAUAAUAUAUAUAAAAAUAAAUAAAUAAAUAAAUAAAUAAAUAUAUAUAUAUAUAUAUACCUUUUGUUUGGGCAUUACAGGUUCGGUUUCAAUGAAGAUUUUUUUUAUCAUUUUGCGGUUCGAUGCGGUUUUAGCUUCAAACCGAACCGCGAACACCACUAAUAUGUAAUGUUGAGAUCAACUGAAUAUGUUUGUAAUGUAGGGACUUUGAUGAAAGAAUUGAAGAUUCAGGAAAUUGUAUGAAAAAAAAUGGUUGAAUGUUAAAUUGACUUAUGAAUAGUGUAUAUGAAACAAUACAUUAUAUAUUUUAUGAAUGAAAUGUUAUGCAAUCAAUUUGUUAAACUGGUUUAUUUAUUUUAUUUCAAAUAUUUAUUUUAUAUGUAAUAAAUAAUAAGUUAUGUUUGAAACAGCAGUAUAAGGAUAUAUCAUUAUAUAUAUUGUUCAUUUAAGGUUAGUAAGAAUUUUAUAUUUUGUAUUUGAAAUAUACUAUGAUAUAUUGAGUACAUCAAAGAUGACAUCAUUUAUGUACUAUUGAAAAUAUGAAGUAGUAUAUAUAUAUGUAACAAAUCACAUAAGAUAUAUGUAUCAUGUACUAGUAUAUACGUCAUUAUUUAUAUAUACACACCUAAUGAAAAAAAGUAGAGUGUGUGGGACCCACGUAUAUAAAUAAUGAGAAAAUAAAAAAUGUUGACCCAAUGUAAUAUAUAUAUAAAGUAAAAAAUAAACUAUGUAGGGUCCACUGCAUGAAAAUUGUGUAGGGGUACAAAACUUCACCUCAACUCACCUAUUUUUGUCAAUAGUUUUGCAUUCACCUACUUUUGACAUAUGUUUCAAAAUUUACAUUAUUUUUUAAAAAAAGUUCUAUACAUAAUAAAUAAUAACUCGUGAUUGAAACAAGAGUGGUUAUGUAUGAAGGAUAGUAUAUUAAAUAUAAUAAAUUGAAAAACUUUGAUUGGUACCGUAGAUGAAAAUUUAUGAAAAAAUAUAGAAAUAAAAUAACUAAAUUAAAAACAGAAAUAUGAAUAUUUCAAAUAAAAGUAUAAAUCAACAUACUAAUAGUUUAAUAAUAAGAAAGAAAAAUUAGUUCGAUAAGGAAAGCUUGCAUCUCUUUCGUUUAUGACAACCACAUUUAAAACUUCAUUUUAGAAUGAAUUCUAAUAUUUUUUUUGUUGACCAACUGAACGUUUUACAUUCAAUGGGAUGAUGUCAACUUCAAUUACUGUAUUAUUGAAUAUAUGCAUUAGUAUGUAUGUAACAAAUCAAAUAAAAUACUAAUCGAAUAUAGAAAAAUAUAAAGAAAAUGAUACAAAACGUGAAGGAAAAAAACUGAACUAUAUAUGUGUCACAAAAUACGUGUUAUUAUAUUUAUAUAAAUGUAUAUAUUGAUAACAUCACCUGUCUAUGUAGUGAUAUAUAUUGAAAUUCAACUAUAAAUUAUGUAGAACUAUAUGUCACUAAAUAUUUAUGUUGUAAAUAAGGUGUAUCUAUAUAUUAAAUCACAUCAUAAACAUAUUAUAAUUUACGAGUAUAUUAUAGUAUAUAUUGUUCAUUUAAAAAAUAUAUGACAAAUAGAAGGUAUAUAAUUAUACGAAGUGAGAAUAUGUAUGUAUGAUAUUCUCACUGCAUAUUAUAUAUACACUAAGAAUGUGUAUUUUACUGUUUUAGUAGUAUUUACUAUAUAAAUAUAUAUUUUAAAUAUUAAUUAUUAAUGAAUAUAUAUAUUACUACAUGUGGUUACAACAUACUUAAGAUAUAAAUGUUUAUAUGUAAAGUCCCAAAGGUAAAAAUAUAUAUAUAUAUACAUUUUUUUUUCUUUUCUUUUCUUUUUCUUUUCUUUUCUCUCUUCUCCUUCCUCCCCGUGCGUUCUCCUUCCCGUUCGCAGCAACCGCCGCCCCAUCUAUUCUCCUUCCGUUCGUGCGCAACCGCGGCCCAACCGCCCCAUCCGUUCGCACAGCAACCGCCGUCGGCCAUCUCCAUCUUCUCUUCUCCUCUCCGUUCCGUCCAAACCCAGAUCCGUCGCUGCAACCGUCAGCCGGUUCGUGAAGUGCCGUACGCGUCACCUUGCAGCAGUCGUCCAGAUCUGCAUCGCCGUGCCUGUUCCUUUCUCCUCCGUUUUCUUCCCGCCGCGGAUCCAAGUCGAUCUCUUCCUAAAUUACGUGUCCCCUAUCAAGUCGACGUUCUUCUGCUCGUUGUAAGACGGAGUUACGAUUUGAAGCCGAUUUUCUUUUCCAGUUGAGUCGCAUUCAGUGUUGCUCUAUUUACAACCGCUUGAUUCGUUCUUGAUUGUCAUUUUUGCCUCGCCGUGAACCAUUGGGCUCAUAUUUGGGUAAGAACAAGUUAUGGUUUUUUUGUGGUUUCUUGGUUUUUGUUGAAUGCUGCCAUUGGAUUUAAUUGUUGGCGAAAUGCUUAAUUCUUGAAUGUACAUCUUGAUUCAGUGAGCGAAUCCUUGAUUUUCCAAAAGGUUGAAGUGGACUUGAUUUUCCACUUCUUGGGUAAGUUGUGGAAUUUACGUAUGGGAUAAUUUGAAUGGUUGAAACUAUUUAGAAAGAUGUUGAUUUUAUGAUUGAUUAUGUUUAGGAUUUGAUUCAUUGGAUUUAGUAGAUUGAAGAAGCUUCCCCAACUUUGAGGUAAGGGAUUUUCUACUGGACUCAAUUGUGAUUGUGAACUGUGAUUGUGAACUGCAUGUGUGUUGAAUGUAUACUGUGGGCUGACUGAAAAUAUAUAUGAAUGUAUAUGAAUUGAAGUAGACUUGACGUCGAAUGUAUAUCGUGAUUGUCAUGGAAUCUAUAUAUAAAUGUGUGUAUGUGGACAGGACGGAGAUUGUAGAUUGUGUUUGUAUGAGAUGCAGAUGUGAAUCUUGUGAUUUUCGUUUAGAUUGGGUGUAUGAUUAUGCUAAAGUAUGACUGUGUGCUGGUGAACUGAGGGGUGCAUUGACUGUAUAGUGGAUUGACUGAUGUAUUAGCAUAUUAUUGACAGACAUAUGACUGUAGUAAAAUAAGUUGACUGUUAGGAUGUUGAAAGAAAGAACUUUGUGACUUGAAGUAACUGAAAGAUGGGUUGAAGGGAAUGAGGGGAAAAUUGUUAGAUUGUAUUGGGAUGUUUACCUUGUUGGUGUCCCACGGGAUCACCAAUUUAUUGGGCACCUUCGGGAGCAUUAGACUGAUAUGUGUUUCUGUAGAACACUAGACUGAUAUGUACGUCCCUCGGGGCGUUAGACUGAGAUGUGUAUCCUACGGGAUCACAAGACUGCGACUGUACAGGGUGUCCCAAUAGAACUUUAACAAUUUAUUUUCCCCUGACGGGACCAGUAGAGGGUCUCUUACUGAGUAUUUAAAAUACUCACCCUUCUUAUGUUUAAUUUUCAGGCAAAGGUAAUAAAGGCGGCAAACAGGCGAGGGGCAGGAAGGAAGCGUGAUGCCAUAGGAAACGUGUUUUUGCUUCCGCUUAUGGGUUCUUGUGAGGUUUAAAAUGAAUUGAAAUUUAGUUUACAAACGUUGGUUGUAAAUAGUAUUAUUUUAUGUUUUCUUGAAUGUUUAAAAAUCAGGCCUGACUUGAAGAUGUUUUGUUUUUAAAUUGCUUACGUUUUAUUUUAUAUUAAUCAAAGUCUUUAUUUGUUAAAAAUUAACGAUCUCGACGUACUUAGAAAAGUUGGGUCGUUACAUUAUAUGACUAACAACAUAAUAUUACUAUAAGAUAAACAAAAAAAUAAAGAACAGAUUGAAUUGAAAAAUAUUUUCGAUUAUUGUAUGUCACUAUAUAUGUCUGAUUGUAUAUAUCUCUAAGCAAUAUUACAUAAUGAGGUAGUAUAUAUGUAACAAAUCACAUAAUAUAUAUGUAUUAUGGAGUAGUAUAAAUGUAAUUGUUGAGCAAGAAAUUUCAACCAAUGAAAUUACACCACGUCGUCGCACCCAAGUUGUGAUGAUUAUAAUUUGAUUGGAUUUGGGUAGUCAAGUUUUCCAACCCAAUUCAAGCCCCUGAUAAAAAAUCAGGCCAAACAAAGGGGCCUAAGCCCACUAAGAAAAUGGGCCCAAGCCCAAGUCCAAGCUCAACAACUCAACAAGCAAAUGGGUCCAAGCCCACAUAAAGUCCACAAAUUUUCUCUAUAAGUAGAGACCUUUGUCAUUCAUUCGAGAGAUCUUUUGUUGAAGGAAGAAAUGAAGCUCUGAAGUACUGAAGCUUUGAAGAAUUGAAGAUUCAAACUUCUAUAGAGCUCUCAAGACGUGCAAGUUCUUAUCAACUUCGAGAUCAUCAUCUUCUGAAAUAUUGAAGACUUCGAAGAUCAAAAUUUCCUUGAAUUCCAGAAGACUGAAGCUCAAAUAGACCGAACCAUUUAAAUUCAGUUUGGACUAUUUGAGACAGCAACAAACUGUGUUUUUUGUUUUGUACAUAAAUGGUGUGGUUUGAUUCGGUUUUAACAAGCGGUUCAAUUUAUACCGUUUAGACUUGAACUUAUAUAAUGUGAAAUUAUUUUUUUUUCUUUGAAUUUUUAUCUAAGUGUACUCAAAUUGUAUACCAUGUUACAAAAUUGCAAAAUUUUUUUUAAAAUUUUCAAAAAUAUCAUAAAUUGACUAAUAUUUUAUACAAAUAUAGAGUAAAAAUGAUCAAUUUACUCUUUUUAUUAUUAAUAAUAUAUUAAAAAUAAAAAAAAAAGUGAACCACGUUUAAGAUUUUCAUUUAUUAAAUAUUCUAUUAAAAUAUGGAUUAAAUUCUAUUAAAGUAAUAUUAAUAAUAAAAAUUGUCCUUAGUUUGCUUUUUAUGAUUUUAUUAAAAAAUUGUCCUUUUUUAUUUUGCAUUCUUUUUCAUAUAUUUUAUAUAAUUAUAGUAUAUAUUGAAUAAUAUAAUGUAUAUUUUAUUAGUGAAAUGUUCUUAUAUCAAUUUAUUUAUUUAUUUUAUUUAAAUAUUCAUAUCUUACGUAGUAAAUAAUACAUUAUGUUUGAAAUAAUAUUAAUUAUAUAUGAAAGUUGUUUAUGUUUACAAGAACAUGAAUGAGAAAUAAUUAUGAUGAGUAUAUGUAAUAUAUGUCAUUAAAAUAUUUGUUAUUCUCUAGUAUAUGUAAUAGGGGUGUUCAAAAUGAAGUUGAAAGCUGAAUCGAAUCACUAAUCGAACCGAAAUCGAAUGCAUAUGGUUCGGUUCGAUUCGAUUUCUAUUUCAAAAAAACCACAUAAAAUUCGGUUCGGUUCAGUUUAAGAUGUUAAGAACCGAUUCUCAAACCGAACUGAAUUGCUUUAUUUUAAAAACUAAAUAUAUAUAUACAUAUAUAUGUUAAUAAUAAGACUUUUUUAGACUUCAAAGCGGGUAUAGAGGCAAAAAUCAAUGAGGAACGAAAAGGAGAAGAAUGACAUAAUCAAAACGUAAAUGACAAGUUGUCUUGACGAAGUUUGUAUGACUGUAGGACUUUUAUUCAUCUUAGGUGGAUUUUAAAACUUUUAUGUGUUGUUGGACUUUCAAAUUUCAAUGUUUGAAACAUCUAUGUCUGUAAUUUUGAAAUUUCUAUGUUUAUAACUUUGUAUAAGUCGUUCGGUUUUCACUACUACAAAAUGGGUUUACUUGACGCUAGCAACUUUUACAUACUGGACGUUUUUAUUAAAAAAACGUCAAGUAUGAACUAUGUUAAAGAAAAAGCGUCAAGUAUAGUCUUAAAAAAUAUGAAGUUUUCACGAAUUUUUUUUAAUUAUUUUAUGUUAGCUUUAUUUGACGUUUUUUUUUUUUUUGCGUCAAGUAUAAAGUAGAUUUUACUUGACAUUUUAUUCGAGUUAAAAGUAGUGAACAUUUACUUGACACAAAAAACAUGUCAGGUAUGGUUUUAAAAAAGAAAAUUUUUACGUUAACUUUUAUAUGACAUGGUUUUCGCGUCAAAUAUAGUGGAGAUUUAUUUGACAGUUUAUUCGCGUCAAAUAUAGUGGAGAUUUUACUUGACGUUUUUUUCGUGUCACGUAUAGUGGACAUUUACUUGACGCGAAAACAACGUCAAAUAUAGUUAACAUUUUUUAUUUAACACUUUUAAAAUGUCAAUUGCCAAAAUGUCAAAUAUAAAACGUUUAAAAAUAUGAAAAUAAAAAGUAUAAAAAUCAACUUAUUAAAAUAAUUUUUUAAAAUCAACUUAUUAAAAUAAUUUUUUUAAAAUCAACUUAUGAAAAUAAAUCUUUUGAAAUUUUUCACUUAAAUAAUUUGAAAUCUCUCAUUAAAUUAAAUUUACUAAAAUCUCUCGUUAAAAUAAAUUUGUUGAAAAUUUUCCUUUAAAUAAAAUUAUUGAAAAUAUUUCCUUAAAUAGAUUUAUUAAGAUAUUUUAAUGAAAAACUCAUUAAAUAAAUUUAUUAAAAUAUUAUUAAAUAAAAUUUUGAAAUCUUUCACUAAAACAAACUUUUACAAAUUUUGACUAAAAUAAAUUUGUUGAAAUCUUUACUUAAAUUAAAUUUAUUAAAAUCUUUCUUUUAAAUAAACCUAUUGAAAAUAUUUUAUUUAAAUAAAUUUAUUGAAACCAUUUCUUUAAAUAAAUUUAUUAAAACAUUUUAAUGAAAAGUUUAUUAAAUAAAUUUAUUAAAAUACUUUAAUAAAAAAUUGUUAAAUAAAUUUUUUGAAAUUUAUCACUAAAAUAAUUUUUUGAAUUCAUUAAAAUAAGUUUAUUGAAUCUUUCCUUUAAACAAUUUUAUUGAAAAUAUUUCAUUAAAUAAAUUUAUUAAAAUAUUUUAUACAAAAUUUAUAAAUAAAUUUAUAUAUUUUAAUGAAAUCUUUCAUUAAGUAAAUUUAUCAAAGUAUUUUGAUGAAAUGCUUAUUUAAUAAAUAUUAAAAUAUUUUAAUGAAAACAUUAUUAAAUGUAUUUGUUAAAAACUUUAACGAAAAUAUUAUGAAAUAAAUUUAUUAAAAAAAUUAAUAAAAGAUAAUUAAAUAAAUUUAUUGAAAUCUUUCAUUAAAAUAUUUUACCAAAACAGAUUUGCUGAACUGUUUCACUAAAUAAAUUUAUUUAAAUAUUUUCAUCAAAGAAAUUCAUUAAAAUAUUUUAUUGAAAUGAUUAUUAAUGAAAUUUAUUGAAACAUUUUAAUAAAUUUUAAAUGGAUCAACUUUUUCCAUUGUUUAGUUUUUAGUUUGCAGUGUAGAUUAAUAAUAGAUCCAAUUUAUUGGUAUAUCUCCAUAAUUAUUUACUUUUACACAUCAUUUAUCACUACUCACAUAAAAAAAAUUACAAAUUUUGUGACAUGAUUAGACAAUUUGAUAGACAAAAAUAGGUGAUAUACAGGAGAUGCAUAUCUAAAUAUUGUGUUGGUAAGUGAUAUAAUAUUAAGUUCUCGCACAUCAACUUGAUUUUAUGAAGUUUUGUUUAAUAAAAAAAUCAUUUUAUUAAAGUGAGCAUAUAUAACUCAAUUCAGUUAUUUACCAAAAAAAUUAAAAUCAAAAUAAUUUAGGGUUUCUUUUUUCUUUUUUUGUUUCUUUUUAUGGAAAGAUUGAAGAUCUUGGAAACCUAAAACAUAAUUUAAGAAAAUUGUUUAAUGAUAGCGAAAAUUAAGAAUAAAUUAAUAAAAACAAAUAAAUUGAAACAAAAACUCACAAACCGCUCUAUUUAAUUUUUUUAAAAUGAUAUAAUUAAAAAAAAUAUUAUCAAAAACUAAGAAAUAAAGAAAAAUAAUAAUAAUAACAAAUUGAAAACAAGGUACAAAUCUAUUGUUUUCUAAUUUUCACCCUUUCAACUUAUUUUCUAUUAUCAAUUCCUAAUUUCUCCUAUAAAAACCUUCUUUCCUAAUUCAAAAAAUAUUCAUAAUCUCAAAUCUUUAUAUUCUCAUGAUCAAUCCAUGGAUCUUCCUCAAAAGUUAACAAAAACUCAUGUAAUUUUCUUUCCUUUUUAAUGUUUCUUUCAUUUUUUUCUAUAGAAAUUUUCAUGUUGAUUAUUAAAAAUGAUUAGUGGGCUUUUUUUUCAACUUUCUCAAUAACACUUCUUUCCUUUUAUAUAUUGUUAAAAAAGGUAUCCAAUGGAAAUAUGAAAAAUUUAUUGCUUUUCAAGUUUUAACCUUAAAACAAUAUAUAUGGAAAAGAUUUAUAUUUAUAUAUUGUUAAAAAAGCUUGUUUUAUUUUAUAUUUAUAUAUGAAAAAGUAAUUUUUUGAAAAGUUUAUCAAAUAUAUUUAUUGAAAUAUUUUAAUUAAAUUUAUUAAAUUCAUUUAAUUAAAAAUAUCAAGUAAAUAUAUUAAAAUCUUUUAUUUCCCUAUUUUUAGUAAUCCCUCACGUCUCCACGAUGAAACCCUAUUCUCAUCUCCACGCUUCCACACAACACAGGCGAACGGCCACUUCUUCGAAUCGACGGACGACUUCCACACAACACAGAGUGGCAAACGGCGAAUGGCUUCCACACGACGAACGCUUCCACCCGGCGAACAGCUUCCACCCGGAAAACAGCUUCAACCCGUUGCGAACAGCUUCAACCCGACAAACAGCUUCAACCCGUUGCGAACAGCUUCAACCCGACGAACGGCUUCCACGCAGCGAACAACUUCCACAGUGAACGGCUUCCACGACUGCGAACAUCUUCCGCACGGCGAACUGCUUCCGCGUUCAAAGGUUUUUAUGCUCCUCAUUCUUAUUGUAUUUAACAUUUUUCAAUGAAUAAUGCUUCCUUGAAUUUGAUUUAUAUCUUGUAAUUAAGGAUGAUAUUGUAAACCCAAAGUGAGAAACACACAAAGAGAAGAAAAUUGAGAAUGACUCUUGUAUAUUUAUAUUUAUUUGUGUUAUAUGUUUAUGUUGUUUAUGUUCAAAUUCGUAAACAAAUGGUAUAAUCUAAUUGACAAAUAGAGAAGACCAUCAUUUUUCUUUAUUGUUGUUUUUUUACAGGAAUGAGUAAUGAAAAAUUAAGGGUGACUCUUGGAUGUUUUAGACCGUAAUUAAUUUGUUGUCGUUAUGGUUAUAAUUAUCAUAUUGAUUUGUUUAUAGUAAUGAGUAAUGAAUUGGUAUAUUUACUCUUGGUAAGAUUCAUACUUUUGAAUGCCAUUUUUUUUUUAUAGUAAUGAGUAAUGAAUUGAUCUUGUGUGCAUCAUCAUAUCCCAAUUACACAUGCAUCUUGGAAGCUGGUGCCGACUGAGUUGAAAGAAAAAGUAUACAAUAUGAUUGAGGUAUGUAAUCAUCCUUCUCAUUUGGAAAUCAUGCAAAUACUACACAUUUAUUGUAUAUUUUGAGUCAUACUAUCUUGUGGUUAUUCUGUAGCCUUAGUAGCCCCAUAGCUUGUAUAUUUUGAGUCAUACUAUCUUGUGGUUAUCCUGUAGCCUUGGUAGCCCCAUAGCCUUGGUCUUGUGGCUAUCCUGUAGCCUUGGUAGCCCCGUAGUCUUGGUAGCCAAUCAUGUAUAUAUUACACAAUUAUUGUAUAUUUUAAGUUGUAUUAUGUGUGGCUAUCCUGCUAUGGUAGCCAAUCAUGCAUAUAUUGGUAAAUGUAAAUAUAUUUAUAAAAUAAUUUUUAUUUUAAUCUAGCACAUAAUAUAAUAUAUAUGCAUUGUUAAUUGGUUGUGUUAUAGUGUUCUUUACAAGUAGGUACGGUUGAAUGUGGAUAUUAUGACAUGAGAUACAUGCAAGAAAUUGUGACUAAGGACACAAACAUUAUCACUGGUGCGGUAUGUUUUUAAACUAUUUACAUUGUAAAGUUAUAGAUAGUAUAUUAUGACUAACUCAAAUAUUUUACAAAGUGUAUUCUACUUUUUAUGUUUUAUAGAUUGAUACAAGAAGCCCAUACACACAGCUUGAAUUGGAUAGACGAGGGGAGUGGGCUGGAUUUUUAGCUCGGUACAUAUGAUAGACACACCUAGAUAUGAUCAUGUUAAUUUUGUAAAUGGCUAAGAUAUGGGAAUGCUCAUAACCUUUUUUGUGGAAACGUUUUGUUCAUAGCCAUUAUGAGGGCAAAAGAUAUAUGGGGAUAGGCUUCAAUUUUGAUUAUAUAAGACAACUAUUAUCAUUUAAUAUUUUGGAAUAGGACACAUAUAGGAAAUUUUAGUUGGCUAUAUUGGAUUGGAAUUGUGUAAUUGUUGAUGACAUUGUUGAGAAUAAUGAAACUAUUGUUGGUUUACAUAUUAUACUAAACUUUUUGUCCUUUUUUUUGUUGUGUAAUUGUUCGUUGGAGAAUUUGUUUUGUUUACGGAUAUGUCUUAUUGAAGUAAAUGUAUGUAAUGCAGGAAAUAAAAAAUGAAAAAAGAAAAAUUUAGUAUAUUUAAUGUAUUAAUAAAUGGUAUAAAUGACAUUAAAUACAUGUCACAUAUACUAUCUUAUUUGAGUCAAAUAUACCAUUUUACUUGAUGGAUAUAUAGUGUCAACUAUAAAAUUUUACUUGACAUAUACAUAAUGUCAAAUAUACUAUCUCACUUGACAGGUAAAUAGAGUCAAAUAUAUAUCUUACUCGACUUGUAAAUAUUGUCAAGUAUACUAUCUCACUUGACAGGUAAAUAGAGUCAAGUAUAUAAUUUACUCGACGUGUAAAUAUUGUCAAGUAUACUAUCUUACUUGACACAAAAAUGAUGUCAAGCAAUAGAGUACUUGACGUUUUUUUAGUGUCAAGUAAUAGAACUAUACUUGACAGUCGAUUACUUGACGCUUUUUAAAACGUCAAGUAUAGAUUUACAUGACACUUUAUUAAUGCCAAGUAAUUCAAUUUUUGUAGUAGUGUUUGAUUUGAUUUUAUUUAUGUAUAUGUGGUUCGGUUUUCAUUCGGUUUGGCAUAGAUGAGCGGUUCGGUUCGGUUUCAAUGAAGAUUUUUUUUAUCAUUUUGCGGUUCGAUGCGGUUUUAGCUUCAAACCGAAUCGCGAACACCACUAAUAUGUAAUGUUGAGAUCAACUGAAUAUGUUUGUAAUGUAGGGACUUUGAUGAAAGAAUUGAAGAUUCAGGAAAUUGUAUGAAAAAAAAUGGUUGAAUGUUAAAUUGACUUAUGAAUAGUGUAUAUGAAACAAUACAUUAUAUAUUUUAUAAAUGAAAUGUUAUGCAAUCAAUUUGUUAAACUGGUUUAUUUAUUUUAUUUCAAAUAUUUAUUUUAUAUGUAAUAAAUAAUAAGUUAUGUUUGAAACAACAGUAUAAGAAUAUAUCAUAAUAUAUAUUGUUCAUUUAAGGUUAGUAAGAAUUUUAUAUUUUGUAUUUGAAAUAUACUAUGAUAUAUUGAGUACAUCAAAGAUGACAUCAUUUAUGUACUAUUGAAAAUAUGAAGUAGUAUAUAUAUGUAACAAAUCACAUAAGAUAUAUGUAUCAUGUACUAGUAUAUAUGUCAUUAUUUAUAUAUACACACCUAAUGAAAAAAAGUAGAGUGUGUGGGACCCACGUAUAUAAAUAAUGAGAAAAUAAAAAAUGUUGGCCCAAUGUAAUAUAUAUAUAAAGUAAAAAAUAAACUAUGUAGGGUCCACUCCAUGAAAAUUGUGUAGGGGUACAAAACUUCACCCCAACUCACCUAUUUUUGUCAAUAGUUUUGCAUUCACCUACUUUUGACAUAUGUUUCAAAAUUUACAUUAUUUUUUAAAAAAAAUUCUAUACAUAAUAAAUAAUAACUCGUGAUUGAAACAAGAGUGGUUAUGUAUGAAGGAUAGUAUAUUAAAUAUAAUAAAUUGAAAAACUUUGAUUGGUACCGUAGAUGAAAAUUUAUGAAAAAAAUAUAGAAAUAAAAUAACUAAAUUAAAAACUGAAAUAUGAAUAUUUCAAAUAAAAGUAGAAAUCAACACACUAAAAGUUUAAUAAUAAGAAAGAAAAAUUAGUUCAAUAAGGAAAGCUUGCAUCUCUUUCGUUUAUGACAACCACAUUUAAAACUUCAUUUUAGAAUGAAUUCUAAUAUUUUUUUGUUGACCAACUGAACGUUUUACAUUCAAUGGGAUUGUAACGACCCAACUUUUAUAGGUAAGUCGAGGUCAUUAAUUUUUAACAAAAGACUUUGGUUGAUACAAAAUGAAACGUAAGUCAAUUUAAAAACAAUUUAUGUCAGGCCUGAUUUUCAAAUAUUCAAGAAAACUUAAAAAUAACACUAUUUACAAAUAAAAGUUUGUAAACUAAGUUUUUAGUACAUCUUAAACUUCAAAAGAAACCAUAUGCGGAAGCAAAAUGACACAUUUCCUAUGGCAAUCACGCUUCCUUCCUGCCCCUCGCCGGCUUGCCACCUUUAUUUCCUUUGCUUGAAAAUUAAACAUAAGAAGGGUGAGUAUAACAAUACUCAGUAAGAGACCCUCUACUGGUCUCGUCAGGGGAAAAUAAAUUGUUAAAGUUCUAUUGGGACACCCUGUACAGUCGCAGUCUUGUGAUCCCGUAGGAUACACAUCUCAGUCUAACGCCCCGAGGGACGUACAUAUCAGUCUAACGCCCCGAGGGACGUACAUAUCAGUCUAGUGUUCUGCAGAAACACAUAUCAGUCAAAUGCUCCCGAAGGUGCAAAAUAAAUUGGUGAUCCCGUGGGACACCUACAAGGUAAACAUCCCAAUACAAUCUAACAAUUUAUCCCCUCAUUCCAUUCAAUCCAUCUUUCAGUUACUUCAAAACAUAGAGUUCUUUCUCUCAACUUAUCUCACUUUAGUCAUAUGUCUGUGAAUAAUAUACUAAUACGUCAGUCAAUCAAACUAUACAGUCAAUACACCCCUCAGAUCACCAGCACACAGUCAUACUUUAGCGUAACGUACACCCAAUCUAAACGACAAUCACAAGAUCGCAUCUGCAUCUCAUACAAGCACAAUCUACAAUUUUCGUCCUGUCCACAUCCACACACACAUAUAUAUAUUCCAUGACAAUCACAAUAUGCAUUCAACAUUAAGUCUACUUCAAUUCAUAUGCAUAUAUAUAUUUUCAGUCAAUCCACAAUAUACAUUCAACACCGAAUCUACAUCCAUACGUGUAUAUAUAUAUAUCAUCUCAUCAUCUUUACUCAGUCAGAGAUAAUCAUACAGAUAUACAAUUCACAAUCAUAAGUGAGUCCAGUAGAAAAUCCCUUACCUCAAAGUUAGGGAAGCUCCUUAAUCACUAACGUCCUCGAAACAAUCCUAAGCAUAACAACACAAAAUUCAAUUACUUUCACGAUACAUAUCCCACUUAUUUUCCUCAACGUAAGUUUCAACUCACUGAUAUAAUGGCGAACUGAACCUUCAACAAUUCACAAUCUGGUUGUGAAUGUAAGGGAGCCUAAUGUUACUCCCAACACCUCAACGCACGACUGUCGAACUCGCGGCAAAAUCCUAAGUGUGUGGUCGGUCAGCGGUCGGCCAAAUGAGACGUGGCGGCUGGGCUUCACGGAUGGAGACCGUCACGAACAGACCGCGAAUCUGAAUGGUUACAGCAAUUCUGAACGGUUACAGCAAAUCUGAACGGUUACAGCAACUAGUCGGCCGACGUCGAUAGCAGGUGGAGCGGCAGUUGUGAGCGGGGAGCGUGGCGGUUACUGGUUCACGCGGCGGCCUUGGCUUCGACGGAGACAGAACCGGCUGAGACGGCUGGGCAGCGGCGGAAGAGCAACGGCUGCAACGGCGGAAGGUCUUGCGGUACAGAUCUGGACGGCGGUCGCAAGGUGACGCGUACGGCGGCCGCAAGGUGACGCGUACGACUGCCUCGCGAACUGGCCGAUGGUUGCAGCGACGUCCGGCUGGGUUUGGACGGAACGAAGAGGAGAAGAGAAAUGGAGACGGCCGGCGGCGGUUGCUGCGAACGGAAGGAGAAGAGAGGGACAGUCGGCGACGCACGGGAGGAAGAAGAAAAAGAAAAAAAAGUUUUCUUUUUCUUUUCUUUUAUUUAAAUAAAAAUGUAAAAUAAAUAUAUUAAUAAAAUAUAAUUAAAUACAUAUAUAUAUUUAAUUAUAUUAAUACAUUUCACAUCUUCUUUCUCUCAAAAUAAUUUACCUUCAAGUUUGGGGCGUUACAUUCUUCCCUCCUUAAGAAACUUUCGUCCUCGAAAGUUUUAAUCCUGAAAUAACUCUGCUCAUCUCUUCUUCUCGCUCCCAUGUCGCCUCUUCAAUUCGAUGAUUCUGCCACAAAACCUUUACUAAUGGAAUGCUUCUAUUACGAAGCAUCUUUACCUCUCUAGCCAGAAUCUCCACAGGUUGUUCUACAUAGCUCAAAUGCUCAUCAAUCUCCAAGGGUUCAUAGUCCACUACAUGAGAUGUAUCGGCCACAUACUUCCUCAACAUCGAAACAUGGAAAACAUUAUGAACUGCAGAGAGAGAUGGUGGUAAUGCCAAGCGAUACGCCACAACACCAACCCUCUCUAAGAUCUCAAAUGGUCCAACAAAACGAGGACUUAACUUUCCUUUCUUCUCAAAACGCAUAACACCCUUCAUUGGUGCUACCUUCAAGAAUACCUUUUCUCCCACAUCGAACUUAAGGUCUUUUCACCGUACAUCCGCAUAACUCUUCUGUCUACUCUGCGCUGUUUGCAUACGUGCUCUAAUCUUUUGAAUAGCCUCAUUAGUAGACCGAACUAAUUCAGGUCCCAUCAACCUAUGUUCACCAACCUCAUCCCAACAAACAGGGGUUCUACAACAUUUGCCAUACAAAGCCUCAAAUGGUGUCAUACCGAUGGUAGCCUGGAAACUGUUGUUAUAAGAAAACUCCAUCAAAUGUAGAUGAGAGUCCCAACUACCUGGAAACUCUAUAACACAAGCUCGUAGCAUAUCCUCUAAAACUUGGUUCAAACGUUCAGUUUGACCAUCAGUCUGUGGAUGAAAGGCUGUACUAAAAUCCAAUCUCGUACCCAUAGCAGUCUGAAGUCCCUUCCAAAACUUGGAAGUAAACCGUGCAUCCCUAUCAGAAACAAUCGAUACAGGCACUCCAUGCAGUCUCACAAUCUCAGUUAAAUACAACUCUGCCCACUUACUAGCAGUAUAAGUGGAUUUCCCUGGUACAAAAUGUGCCGAUUACGUAAGCCUAUCGACAAUAACCCAAAUCACUGUGUAACCCUUCAGGGUUUUAGGCAAUUAUAUAAUAAAAUCCAUAGAUACAUUCUCCCACUUCCACUCUAAUAUACUCAAAGGUUGCAACAAACCUGUUGUUUUCUAUCUUGGUGCUUUAACCUACUAGCACACCAAGCACUUACUAACAAGAUUUUCCAUUUCUCUCUUCAUAUUACGCUAGUAACAAACUCUUUUCAAAUCCGGAUACAUUUUUGUGCUACUUGGAUGCAUGAGAAAUGGGAAACUAUGAGUCUCAACCAAUAACCUUGUCUUAAUUGCAUUUUCUGUUGGCUCACAUAAUUCUCUCUCAAACAUAAGUUCAUCAUCAAAGGAUAUGGAAAACUCCUUAACUUGCCCUACUUCUACUAGGUGAUGCUUCUCAAUCAAAUAAGGAUCAAUGAAUUGAACCACAAGAAUUCUUUGUCUCAAGGUCGGAUGUACUGACAACUGAGCUAACUUUGAGGUGACUUCCCCCACUGAAACUACAAUCUCAGCUCUCUCGUGGUUUUUGUCUAAUGAAACCUGUCUGGUAAUAAGUGCUGUCAAAAUGUGAUACUUUUCUACGAAGAGCACCAACUUCCACAUUCGCCUUACCUAGAUGGUACAAAAUCUCACAAUCAUAGUCAUUUACUAACUGAAACCAUCUUUGCUAUCUCAUACUCAACUUCUUUUGAGUGAAGAAGUAUUUUAUACUCUUUUGGUUAGAAAAUAUCUAUAUCUUUUCAUCAUACAUAUAGUGCCUUCAAAUCAUUAAUGUAAAAACCACAACUGUCAAUUCCAUAUCAUAAGUUGGACAAUUUUCCUCAGUAGGAGUACAAGCAACUACUUUAACUUGUCGAAUAAGAAUACCUUUUAAACUUUCCUAAAAGCAUCACUAUAAAUUACGGAACAUUCUGAACCAUCAUGUACGGUAAGCACGGGAGUUGUACAAGCUUCUGCUUAAGAUCCUGAGCACUAUCCUCAUAGGCUUUGUCCCAAACAAACAGAGUCCCUUUUCUUAGUUAACUGAGUCAAAGGAGUAGCUAUACGAGAAAAUUCUUAUACAAACCGUCAGUAAUAACCUGCUGAACCCAAAAAGACUACGAACCUCACUGACUAUGAAAGGUUGAGGCCAACUGGUAACGACUUCAAUCUUUUAUGAGAUCCACAUAAAUGUCAUCUCUAGAUACCACAUGGCUUGGAAAGAUACUUGGCCUCAUCCAAAACUCACAUUUUGAAAACUUU
rnacentral:lncRNA from 1 species